UUUAAUUGAGUGGUAGGAGAGCGUUCUAUUCAGCGUUGAAGAUGUACCGGUAAGGAGCGUUGGAGCGGAUAGAAGUGAGCAUGCAGGCAUGAGUAGCGAUAAUUGAGGUGAGAAUCCUCAACGCCGAAAACCCAAGGUUUCCUACGCGAUGCUCGUCAUCGUAGGGUUAGUCGGGUCCUAAGUCGAGUCCGAAAGGGGUAGACGAUGGCAAAUUGAUUAAUACUUCAAUACCAACAUAUAAGCGCGAUGUGGGGACGCAUAGAGUUAGUCGAGCUCACUGAUGGAAUAGUGGGUCGAAGGACGUAGGCUGUUACUUAGGCAAAUCCGGGUAACGUUAGGCCGAGAUCUUACAGGCUCUUGACACUCUUCGGAGGAGAUGGAGAAUCGAUGAUACUGUCGUGCCAAGAAAAGCCACUAAGUAUAUUGUAUGUUGCCCGUACCGUAAACCGACACAGGUGGGUGGGAUGAGUAUUCUAAGGCGCGUGGAAGAACCCUGGUUAAGGAACUCUGCAAACUAGCACCGUAUCUUCGGUAUAAGGUGUGCCUACUUUGGUAUAGGAACUUGCUUCCAAAAGCUAGAGAGGUUGCAACAAAGAGUCCCUCCCGACUGUUUACCAAAAACACAGCACUUUGCUAACACGUAAGUGGAUGUAUAAGGUGUGACGCCUGCCCGGUGCUCGAAGGUUAACUGAUGAUGUCAGCGCAAGCGAAGCAUUUGAUUGAAGCCCGAGUAAACGGCGGCCGUAACGGUAACGGUCCUAAGGUAGCGAAAUUCCUUGUCGGUUAAAUACCGACCCGCAUGAAUGGCGUAACGAGAUGGGAGCUGUCUCAACCAGGGAUCCAGUGAAAUUGUAGUGGAGGUGAAAAUUCCUCCUACCCGCGGAAAGACGGAAAGACCCCGUGCACCUUUACUACAGCUUGACACUGUAGCUUGGAUAUUCAUGUGCAGGAUAGGUGGGAGGCUAUGAUAUAUGGACGCAAGUACAUAUGGAGCCAUCCUUGAGAUACCACCCUUGAAUAUUUGAGUUACUAGCUGCGACGAGUCAACCUCGUUCAGGACAAUGUCUGGUGGGUAGUUUGACUGGGGCGGUCGCCUCCUAAAAAGUAACGGAGGCUUACAAAGGUAGUUCAUGGCGGAUGGAAAUCGCCAGUUGUGUAUAAUGGCAUAAACUAGCUUGACUGUGAGACAUACAAGUCGAACAGAGACGAAAGUCGGUCAUAGUGAUCCGGUGGUUCUGUGUGGAAGGGCCAUCGCUCAAAGGAUAAAAGGUACGCCGGGGAUAACAGGCUGAUCUCCCCCAAGAGCUCACAUCGACGGGGAGGUUUGGCACCUCGAUGUCGGCUCAUCGCAUCCUGGGGCUGAAGUAGGUCCCAAGGGUAUGGCUGUUCGCCAUUUAAAGCGGUACGCGAGCUGGGUUCAGAACGUCGUGAGACAGUUCGGUCCCUAUCUUCCGUGGGCGUAGGAAAGUUGAAGAGAUUUGUCCCUAGUACGAGAGGACCGGGAUGAACGUACCACUGGUGUACCAAUUGUUCUGCCAAGAGCAUCGUUGGGUAGCUACGUACGGAUGUU
rnacentral:rRNA from 1 species